CUUAGAGUUUGAUCCUGGCUCAGGAUCAUCGCUGGCGGUAUGCUUAACACAUGCAAGUCGAACGGUGUCUUCGGACAUAGUGGCGGACGGGUGAGUAACGCGUGAGAAUCUAGCUUCAGGUCUGGGACAACCACUGGAAACGGUGGCUAAUACCGGAUGUGCCGGAAGGUGAAAGGCUUGCUGCCUGAAGAUGAGCUCGCGUCCGAUUAGCUAGUAGGUGGGGUAAGAGCCUACCUAGGCGACGAUCGGUAGCUGGUCUGAGAGGAUGACCAGCCACACUGGGACUGAGACACGGCCCAGACUCCUACGGGAGGCAGCAGUGGGGAAUUUUCCGCAAUGGGCGAAAGCCUGACGGAGCAAUACCGCGUGAGGGAGGAAGGCUCUUGGGUUGUAAACCUCUUUUCUCAGGGAAGAACACAAUGACGGUACCUGAGGAAUCAGCAUCGGCUAACUCCGUGCCAGCAGCCGCGGUAAUACGGAGGAUGCAAGCGUUAUCCGGAAUGAUUGGGCGUAAAGCGUCCGCAGGUGGCUGUGUAAGUCUGCUGUCAAAGAGCAAAGCUCAACUUUGUAAAGGCAGUGGAAACUACACGGCUAGAGUGCGUUCGGGGCAGAGGGAAUUCCUGGUGUAGCGGUGAAAUGCGUAGAGAUCAGGAAGAACACCGGUGGCGAAGGCGCUCUGCUAGGCCGCAACUGACACUGAGGGACGAAAGCUAGGGGAGCGAAUGGGAUUAGAUACCCCAGUAGUCCUAGCUGUAA
rnacentral:rRNA from 1 species